CUCAGCGCUACACGAAAUCGAGGCCAAGCUGAAGGAAGCAGAAGAGCAGAAUGGAAACCUUCUCGCAGAAAUAAAUUGCCUGAGAGAAGAAAUAUGUGCAAAGGAUGACCAGCUUGAUGAACAUCGAGAAAUGAUUAAGCAGGUCCAAAAUCCAUCAGAAGCUGAGAUGAAGGUGGAAUGUAGCAGCGUACAGCAAACCAAGAGUGUGAUGCAAAACACUCUGCGACGCAGGAAGUGACGGUGAUGCUCUGGAGUCUCUCGAGAACAAUCUGAGUCAAGUGAAGAAGGAGAAAGAGCAGAUCCACAAGGACUUCGUCAGGCUACAGAAAGACAUCCGAUUGCUGAGGAAGGAGCACGAGCAGGACCUAGAAUACAUGAAGAAAGAGUUGCUGGGCGAGAAUGAGAAACAGAUGAAACUGGAGCUGGAAGAUCUGGAGAUGAAGCACAAUUCUGCUAUCAAGCAGUUAAUGAGGGAGUUCACACACAGAUGGCUUUGAAAGAGAGGGAGCUCGUUACAACAGUGAAGGAGACCAUCGAGAAGGCCCAGACCGUAGAGGCGGAGCUCCUCAGCAGCCAUAGUGAAGAAGCCUGUCAGCUGAGGAAGGUGAUUGACCAGAAGGAGGAUGAUUUGCACAGAACUGUUCAGAAAUAUGAAGAGGUAUUACAGGUACUGUAAAACGAUGAGCUUCAAAGCUUCACACAAGACCCUAUUUACACAGUAAGUUAAUCGUGGAAAGGAAAUGAACUCCCACCCCGUCAUUUGGAAGCCGUCAGUGCAGUUGUUGGCAGGCGCACCACUCUUACUCUGAAGCAGUGCUUCUUAACCUCUUUUGUAAGACAUGCCUCCAUAGCAUCGACACCAACCAUCAUGACCAUCACCAAAUCCAUUUGAAUUUAUUUUUAAAUAUUAUUUGAUAAACAGGUAAUGUUUGUAUUUCUACCAUAUCACUUAGUGACAGAAGGAGGAUGUUUAUUUAAUCUGUUAUCCAGUACUUUUAGCUACUUAACUUUAACUAUCUAUCUUUCUGCUGUUUAUUUGUUAGCUACUUAUCCGUGACCUUUUUUCUAAUUAUUCAACUGUUGAUUAACUUGUUUUCACACAUUCUUAAACACAACACUGUUUGGGUGUUAUGGCUGACUUAAUAUGUGUAUUUAUAUAUUAAAUCAAAUGAUAAAUUCUACUACUUAAAGAUCUGUCUCCAU
rnacentral:lncRNA from 1 species